rnacentral:rRNA from 1 species
CGAACGCUGGCGGCAUGCCUAACACAUGCAAGUCGAACGCCCCGCAAGGGGAGUGGCGAACGGGUGAGUAACGCGUGGGGACCUACCCAGCAGUUGGGGAUAACCGCGGGAAACUACGGCUAAUACCGAAUACGUCCUGAGGGAGAAAGAUUUAUCGCUGUUGGAGGGGCCCGCGUCGGAUUAGCUAGUUGGUGAGGUAAUGGCUCACCAAGGCAUCGAUCCGUAGCUGGUCUGAGAGGACGACCAGCCACACUGGGACUGAGACACGGCCCAGAUUCCUACGGGAGGCAGCAGUGGGGAAUCUUGGACAAUGGGGGAAACCCUGAUCCAGCAAUGCCGCGUGUGGGAUGAAGGCCCUCGGGUUGUAAACCACUUUUGGCAGGAAAGAAAUCCUUUGGGUUAAUACCUCGGGGGGAUGACGGUACCGGAAGAAUAAGCACCGGCUAACUACGUGCCAGCCG